rnacentral:rRNA from 1 species
AAAAGAAGAUCAAGAAGAGCUUCAGAAUGAAGCUUUCUUGAUGGAGGGGAGCGGCAGACGGGUGAGUAACACGUGGGAACGUACCCUUUACUACGGAAUAACGCAGGGAAACUUGUGCUAAUACCGUAUGUGCCCUUCGGGGGAAAGAUUUAUCGGUAAAGGAUCGGCCCGCGUUGGAUUAGCUAGUUGGUGGGGUAAAGGCCUACCAAGGCGACGAUCCGUAACUGGUCUGAGAGGAUGAUCAGCCACAUUGGGACUGAGACACGGCCCAAACUCCUACGGGAGGCAGCAGUGGGGAAUAUUGGACAAUGGGCGCAAGCCUGAUCCAGCCAUGCCGCGUGAGUGAUGAAGGCCUUAGGGUUGUAAAGCUCUUUCACCGGAGAAGAUAAUGACGGUAUCCGGAGAAGAAGCCCCGGCUAACUUCGUGCCAGCAGCCGCAGUAAUAC